AACAGCAGGAGAAUAUGAUGAGGCCACAGAGUGGCAAGGUGACAUAGUGUGGAUAUGGCAGCAGCAUGAGGAGACCACAGAGUGGAAAGGUAACUUAGUGUGUAGAUGCCAGCAGCAGCUGCAGGAUCCCACAGAGUGGCAAGGUGACAUAGUAUGGAGAUGGCAGUAACAGUUGAAUCAGGAGACCAGAAAGUGACUCUGUAACAGAGUGGGGCGGUGGCAGCAUCACCAG